UAGAGACAGCAGCCAGCCCCAGCUUUGAGAGUGGCACUGCAAGUUCCUUCCCCAGGAUUUACACUCAGCAUUUCAGCGUCAAGCUGCCAUAGCUUUGAACUACGAUUCUGAGCAUCUCUGCUUUGUCUUGAUUUAUUUUGUGCACCCGUUAGCAAGAUGUGUCCUAAGAGGUUCACAGCUGGAGAGGAAUUUUGCCUCAGGUUGAAUCAUACCUCGAGUCUCACUCACACCUGAUUUGGAUGACAUACAUUCAGAAACCUGAAUGACGUGAGGGAGCAAUUCUUGGGAGCGUUUGUGAGAAGACUGUUCCAAACGGAAGGCAUUCCAAACACAAAGACGCCAAGCGAAGGAUGUGCUCUUGGCCUGGUGCCAAAAGACUGAGGUGCAGGAGUGCGGUGAACCAGGGGCAGAGAGGAUGGAAAAACUGUUGGAGAGAGAGAAGUAGGAGUCUGAUCACGCAGGGGCAUGGUAUUUGCUGUUGAAUGGAGAAGAUGAGAGAGGACAGCAAGAGUGCAAACAGAGACCAACUAGGAGGCCACUGGUCCAGUCUGACACUAUCACCAGGAUACCCCUGCCCGGCUCAUUUACAGGAAGGCAGCCACUGAACAGCGAUAACUGAAGUGCUCAUGCUGACUCACAUCCACCUUUUCAAAAAACCGUAAGCAAGUGCCAAUCUAUUGAUGACGGAGGAAGCAAAGCUGCUUUUCAGUACGUUUCAUAAUUAAAUGUCUACGUUCUUUAAGCAGUGGUCUUCCCUAACUUUGGGGAGCCCAACUCUGCCGAAAAAAAUCCAUCAAGUUCUAUACGAAGAAAAAAGCUACUGAAGCUCUAGGGUGGUGUUUAUUCAUAUGGGGUUCUAAGAUGGACCAGGCAGGUAUACAAACCCCCUAAAAGUAAAUGCAAACAUUGUAUUUCAGUGUACUUUUCUGAGGGGUAGGGGGACCGUAAUAAGCUCUUAUCACAGUCCCCCAAAAAGUGCAAGAUCAGAAAACAGCCAAAGGAGCUGCCAAACCUUGGGUGUGUACGAAGGGGGAGGAGAAGAAUCUGACCUCCCCUGGGUCAUCAGAUGAACAAUAGUGUGGAGACCUCCGGCAUUGUCUGCUUUCUCAGUGGUUCACCGCCCACUCUUAGAGAAGGUCUGGGCUCUAAUUCCCUCCUAGCAGGGGGGAGGGCAAGAGUCCAAUGCCCUCCUGGAGUGUAGGAAUAGCCCUCCCUAUUACUAAGGUACUUUAGCAAGAAGUAAAACCAAUCCUCAGAACCCGGCGUAGUCUGAACAGGCUAAAAAUCUUCACCUUUACGCAUACACUUGGCCAUGGUAAUAUUUUAGCAUUGCCUUUAGCAACUCAAAGCGGAAGAGCUGUGGAACAGUAAAGGCAAAGGUCUCUCGAGCUAAACUUUGAAUCGUGAGAUCUCCUCAUUAAAACUGCCCACACUACAUGCAGACGGCAGAUUUUGUCCAGUGCCAAGCAGGUGCCACACAGGGCUCUGGCCACUGUACUUGUAAUCAUUCUAUGUCUCCCACAUAUGCUUCCUUUACAAGCGCCAUGUGGUCUUUCUGUGUAGUGAAAAAUCGGCUUCCCUAAUUUACACAGCUUUCCUACCAAUCAUUGAGGCCAUUCGGACUUCUUGUUUUCAGCCUCAAAUUGAAUCAGGCAGUCACAGAAAUAUUUGGAUGAGGCGGGCCCAGAAACCCAAGAAUCUCUUCUGGUCUGUGUCUACCCAGUAGGUGAGCCCCGCCUGCCCGCGUUUUUUUUUUUUAGGAGGCUGCUACGUAAGAGGGUGCAGACGUGCUUCAUAGACCGUAGGCCGUCAGGCAAAUCUCCGUGGCGACCAGUUCCAUCACUCAAAGCUGACCAAAGUCUCCCCACCCUUUAUACUUCUGCUUCUCCCCUCCUCCAACGGAAUUUAUUUCGUGCUAAUGCUACCCAGGGAUGCAGGCAGUAUCUUUAUCUCCACUGUUGUGCUGUUUUUCCUCAUCCUCUUUGCCUCUCCUUCUCCAUUGGACAUGAAUCUGCACAGUCCCAUGGUGUAAAGCCCUGAGUACUUCUUCCAUGGUGGGAUGCAGAUUUAUUGAAUGAAUGUGUACUUAUUUCAAAAAUGUGUGCAACGAACGAGUGUUUACUUUGAUGGUGUGACCCUAUAAUCCUAUAACUGUUUAAGUGUUCACAUGGGGGGGGGAAGUUACUUUGAUUACAAUCACAGUCUAAAUUCUUUAAAUAUUAAGUUCCAGGUGGACUUUUUAAUCCAACUUAAUUCCAAUUAGACAUAAAUGGCUGUUUUAAGCUACUUGUAAAUAAACAAGUUUAUACAUGCUUUUACAAAAUUAAGAGGAGCAAGAUAAUCCAUUAAAUUUCAUACUCUUGACGAGUGGCCCUUUAAGAGCUUUGAGUCUUAGCUUGAUAUUCUCAGGCCAGCUUCCUCUGGAUACUGUUAAUAAGCAGACACAGAUCAACAUACUGAUAGCGAGAACGAGGAAGAAAGACAAAUGGCCUGAAAAGCCCACAAUGGGAUAUAGAUCUGGGUUAAUUCAUUUAUGCAUUUGUUUACCUCUGCUAUGUUGCCAGGCCCAGUUUUAGAUACUGGGGAUAUUGUGGUGGUAAGAGAAUGCCAGUCCCUGCUCUCGUGGAGCUUAAAUUCAAGUGGAUGGGGGUUAUGUACACGUUUUUACUUUCUUUAAAAAA